UGGCUGUGAUGACACCGAUUGGUUUCGCUCACUACUGAUGUGCAGUGGGGACAGUUCCACUUGGCUGCCUGAGCAG
rfam:Callipepla squamata strain Texas jcf7180005146502, whole genome shotgun sequence.